rnacentral:rRNA from 1 species
GGCCUAACACAUGCAAGUCGAACGAUACUCUCUGGCUUGCUGGAGAGGAAAGUGGCGCACGGGUGCGUAACGCGUAUGCAACCUACCUUAAUCAGGGGGAUAGCCCGAAGAAAUUCGGAUUAACACCGCAUAAAAACACAGGAUAGCAUUAUCCCAUGUUCAAAUAUUUAUAGGAUUAAGAUGGGCAUGCGUGUCAUUAGCUAGUUGGCGGGGUAACGGCCCACCAAGGCGACGAUGACUAGGGGAUCUGAGAGGAUGACCCCCCACACUGGUACUGAGACACGGACCAGACUCCUACGGGAGGCAGCAGUAAGGAAUAUUGGUCAAUGGAGGCAACUCUGAACCAGCCAUGCCGCGUGCAGGAAGACAGCCCUCUGGGUCGUAAACUGCUUUUAUUCGGGAAUAAACCACAUUACGUGUAGUGUGCUGAAUGUACCGAAGGAAUAAGGAUCGGCUAACUCCGUGCCAGCAGCCGCGGUAAUACGGAGGAUCCAAGCGUUAUCCGGAUUUAUUGGGUUUAAAGGGUGCGUAGGCGGCUUAUUAAGUCAGGGGUGAAAGACGGUGGCUCAACCAUCGCAGUGCCCUUGAUACUGAUGAGCUUGAAUACACUAGAGGUAGGCGGAAUGUGACAAGUAGCGGUGAAAUGCAUAGAUAUGUCACAGAACACCGAUUGCGAAGGCAGCUUACUAUGGUGUGAUUGACGCUGAGGCACGAAAGCGUGGGGAUCAAACAGGAUUAGAUACCCUGGUAGUCCACGCCCUAAACGAUGAAUACUCGCUGUUAGCGAUACACAGUUAGCGGCUAAGCGAAAGCGUUUAGUAUUCCACCUGGGGAGUACGCCCGCAAGGGUGAAACU